rnacentral:tRNA from 1 species
GUGGCCGAUGCCGAAGCGGUGGAGGCGUAGGGUUGUGGCCCCUAUUUUAGCGGAUUCAACUUCCGCCGGCCACCCCA